rnacentral:rRNA from 1 species
AUUGAACGCUGGCGGCCGGCCUAACACAUGCACGUCGAACGAGUGGCGGACGGGUGAGUAAUGUCUGGACAACUGCCCGAUGGAGGGGGAUAACUACUGGAAACGGUAGCUAAUACCGCAUACCAUCGGAUGUGCCCAGCUGGGAUUAGCUAGUAGGUGGGGUAAAGGCUCACCUAGGCGACGAUCCCUAGCUGGUCUGAGAGGAUGACCAGCAACACUGGAACGGAGACAGGGUCCAGACUCCUACGGGAGGCAGCAGUGGGGAAUAGUGCACAAUGGGCGCAAGCCUGAUGCAGCCAGGCCGCGUGUAUGAAGAAGGCCGUCGGGGUGUAAAGUACUGUCAGCGGGGAGGCGUUACCCGCAGAAGAAGCACCGGCUAACUCCGUGCCAGCAGCCGCGGUAAUUC